rnacentral:rRNA from 1 species
CACGUAGGGCGCAAGCGUUGUCCGGAAUUAUUGGGCGUAAAGAGCUCGUAGGCGGUCUGUUGCGUCCGCUGUGAAAACUCGAGGCUCAACCUCGAGACGUCGGUUGAAACCGUACGGCUAGAGUCCGGAAGAGGAGAGUGGAAUUCCCGGUGUAGCGGUGAAAUGCGCAGAUAUCGGGAAGAACACCCGUGGCGAAGGCGGCUCUCUGGGACGGUACUGACGCUGAGACGCGAAAGCGUGGGGAGCGAACAGG